rnacentral:rRNA from 1 species
GACGUAGGGGACGAGCGUUGUCCGGAAUCAUUGGGCGUAAAGCGCGCGUAGGUGGCCACAUAAGUCCGUUGUGAAAGUCAAAGGCUCAACCUUUGAAAGCCGAUGGAUACUGUGUGGCUAGAGUACGGAAGAGGCGAGUGGAAUUCCUGGUGUAGCGGUGGAAUGCGCAGAUAUCAGGAGGAACACCAAUAGCGAAGGCAGCUCGCUGGGACGUUACUGACACUGAGGCGCGAAAGCCAGGGGAGCGAACGGG